GGUUAUUCUUUAUGAAGUUGUCGAAUGAAACUCUUGAAAUUGUAAAGAAACUACUAUCAAACGUUCUUAAUUUGUUGGGUGUUUUCUUUAUUUACAGGAAAUUAAUAAAUCUGCUCUUUGCCAUUGUUGAAAUUUCCCAACACAGAGAAAAAGCAAAUACAGUUUAGGAAAAUGACAACAUCCAGCUGAUAUGAAUUUGAACGAAGUCUCACCUAAACUUCAUAUGGGACACUGAAGGAUGCUCCAUAUGUAAUGGAGGCAUGCAAAAGUGUAUUCCUCACACUUUCAUCGAUAUUUGUUGGGAUUUAUCUUUGCUUUCUCCGCUACUUGCCCUGCUUCUUCCACUUCAUUCAUUGAUUUCAGAUAAUAUCUCCUUCAGAUUUCUUGUGAUUUGUCCUUAAUCUAUAAUUUCCUCCGGCUAGCCUUUCUGCUUU